UUUAACAAUGACUCUGAUAUCUUUCAAAUUUUUUCCUUUGCCCAUGAAGUAACGGGGAAAAUCACUGUCAUAAAUCAGCAACCAAACAGUACGAUUACAGUUCUUGUAAGCGCAUUAAUUUUCUCUCUUCCAUGUUAAGAUAUUUAUCAGAACCAGCAUCAUUUAUAGCAGGGUGGAUGCUCUAGCAUAAUUUCUGGCACCAGGUAACAUCAGGAGGGGCUUCUUUUUAGCAUAUGCUGGAUCUCAGGUCUUUAUCUCGAGUCCCGACAGGUGAUCUCUGUUUCCUUUAAGCAAAAAAGAAAGAAAGGUAGUGGAAACAGAAAAGAGCAAAGAAGAAAUGAAGUAGAGAUCAUCAUCUUCCUUUCUGCACAAAUGAGGAUCAAAGAGAUUUAUAUCAUGAGAUCUAGUAGCGCAUGACGGCGUGGGAGUGAUGGCAAUGCAACUUUACAGACAUGGGUUUUUGAUUUAUUAAUUGGCACAUAAUAUAUUACCUUUUGUAUAUGGCAGACCAGUUCAUUAUGGAAUGAGAGACUGUAUGUAAAUAUUUGUUUUCCAUCUUUUCAGUAAAUGUUUGUCUUGUUUGAAUAUCCAUGAAGCAACUUUGUCUC